ensembl:lncRNA
ACUGUAGUAAUGGAUCAAGGUCACUGACAUUUCUAGCACCAAAUGACCUGGACCUGUGUGCCCCACUUCUUAUAAUUGGGGUUAAAGCCUCAAUCCCAAUAUUCCAGGUACAGUUAUUAUAACUGUCUUGUCUCUUCCUUCCCUCCAACCUAGAACUGAGGUAGAGUGUUUUUCUAGGAAACUCCCUCUCCAGAAGGACUAAAGUCUUGGCCCUGAUCCUCACGAACUUGCUUAAUAUCCUCUGCACAAAGAUCGACACCACUUGUCACUUGUGAACUGCAGCUUAAAAGUCAACAUCUCUUGGAACCCUGUUGGCCACAGAUUAUUUGCCUCAAAUCUGGUUGGAGAUGGGUCUAUUGUUUGGGCAUCAUAUUGUAUCUGGCCUGCUGAAAUCCCAGCGUUUGUUUGAAAUUCCCAUCUCAUUCUCCUGGUCAGAAGGAGGUCAGGCUUGUGCCAGAAUAAACCUGGGAAGAUGCCACAUGGCUGGGCGUCUGCUAUGGGAAGCUAGAGCACAGAAACAGGAAGUGGUGUCCUGGAAGUCUGCUGAAGAUUCUCCAAUGUGAACUGGUUGCAUUGAAGGCCACAAUUAACAGCCCUUUGCAAUGUGACCUUGCAGAUUCUUCCAUCAAGAAAUUAGCCCUGAGCUAACAUAUGCCGCCAAUCCUCCUCUUUUUGCUGAAGAAGACUGGCCCUGAGCUAACAUCCGUGCCCAUCCUCCUCUACUUUAUAUGUGGGAUGCCUGUCACAGUCUGGCUUGACAAGGAGUGCGUAGGUCUGCACCCGAGAUCUGAACCGGUGAACCACAGGGUAACGAAUCAGACUGCGUGAACCCAACUGCUACGCCACUGGGCCGGCCCCUUGAGUUAUUUUUAUGGAGCAGGAAGCAACCUGUUUUAAAGUCCGAAGAUUCAAAGGAUGCUGAUAAAGUUAUGGAUAAUUAAAUCACAAUAGGUUAAUGAAGAUUAACGAAAAUGUUUAGAUGUCUGAGGUCUAUUCUUAACCUUUGAGGAUGACAUUGAACAGCAGCCACUUCCCCUCUGGAGCAAAGCUGCAAGUUGCCUUCCCAGCAUCCACCCUCCUGCUUUCCUUUUUUGUUUCCCAUUUUGUUUAGGUUGUCAUGCUUCAUCUAAACAAAAGUACUACACUUCCUAGCAUCCCUGGCAGCCAGGGGUGGCCAAUGAGAUGAAAUUAGAAUUUACUAGGUAAAGCUUCUAAGAAGGGUCUUUUUUCUUUUUUUUGAUUGAGGAAGAUUAUCCGUGAGCUGACAUCUGUGCCAAUCCUUCUCCACUUUAUAUGUGGGUCGCCACAGCAUGACUGAUGAGUGCUGUAGGUCUGCGCCAGGGAUCCAAACCCACAAACCUGGGACGCUGAUGUGGAGCAUGCCAAACUUAACCACCACACCAUGGGGCUGGCCCAGAAGGGUCUUUUAAGGAGGGACAGACUCAGCUUGCACAUGCCUUUUAUCCUUCAGUGUUCAAUCUUUCCUUUCUCCAGAAAACAAACUCAAUGGUGGAUGUGAAGCAGUCAUUUUAUGGCAAUGAGGGAUCAUGCAAACAAAAGCAAACAUGGUGAUGCUGAAGUGGAGGGCUAGAAUGAGCCUGGCUCCCCAGUGGCAUCGUAGAGUUGCCAGAUCAGCCCCAGAUUUCCUACUGGGAACCUCUUGUUAUAUAUGCAAAAUAUGCACAAAUUUGUUUAAGCCACUGUUACAUUUUUGGGGGUUGAGGGGUAGUUUCUUUUAUUCAUAGCUGAAAACAUCCCCUAUCAAAGUAGUUUCUAGAAUGCCUGGGGGACCCUUGGUGGUGACUUUUGUAUUUUCAGGUGUUUAGGAGUUCCCCACAUUACAAACCCUGCUUUACUGACAAAUAAAAUCUGUGGCUCUGUUUCUGCCCCCAAAUUCAGUCUUGUCACCCCUUAUAGACCUUUUCCCCCAUCAAUUUCACGUUCCCUAUUCUUCAUUAACUUGCAUCCACAGGUGUCAGCUCAAUGGGAGAGGGGUAGCCAAACCUCUUCUUGUAAAGGGUAGAAAAGCCUUUCCUCCUAAGGAAUGCCCAGCAUAGCGAUGG